rnacentral:rRNA from 1 species
GAAGAGAGGAGCUUGCUCUUCUUGGAUGAGUUGCGAACGGGUGAGUAACGCGUAGGUAACCUGCCUUGUAGCGGGGGAUAACUAUUGGAAACGAUAGCUAAUACCGCAUAACAAUGGAUGACCCAUGUCAUUUAUUUGAAAGGGGCAAAUGCUCCACUACAAGAUGGACCUGCGUUGUAUUAGCUAGUAGGUGAGGUAACGGCUCACCUAGGCGACGAUACAUAGCCGACCUGAGAGGGUGAUCGGCCACACUGGGACUGAGACACGGCCCAGACUCCUACGGGAGGCAGCAGUAGGGAAUCUUCGGCAAUGGGGGCAACCCUGACCGAGCAACGCCGCGUGAGUGAAGAAGGUUUUCGGAUCGUAAAGCUCUGUUGUAAGUCAAGAACGAGUGUGAGAGUGGAAAGUUCACACUGUGACGGUAGCUUACCAGAAAGGGACGGCUAACUACGUGCCAGCAGCCGCGGUAAUACGUAGGUCCCGAGCGUUGUCCGGAUUUAUUGGGCGUAAAGCGAGCGCAGGCGGUUUGAUAAGUCUGAAGUUAAAGGCUGUGGCUCAACCAUAGUUCGCUUUGGAAACUGUCAAACUUGAGUGCAGAAGGGGAGAGUGGAAUUCCAUGUGUAGCGGUGAAAUGCGUAGAUAUAUGGAGGAACAC